rnacentral:lncRNA from 1 species
AGCACAAAACAACGUCGUCCACCCUCCAGUCAUUCACACCCCCACCCCCCUGAACUCCAACGCCCACAGUUGCUUCACCAUCUGACCCUGCCGUUCACACCACCCAAUGACCACCCUUGUAACCCAUCGCCAUACACAAAUGACCACCCUCGUUGAUAUCCUUAUCUCACCAGUCUUCACCAGAACAUCACCCCAAAAAUUAGCUCCAAAAAAAAAAACCUUAAACCAACCAUGGACAUUACCUAAACUCCAAUCCCAAAUCAGGUCCUGCUGAAUCUAAUAUUUCCGGUAGCUUGUGAACACAAAAAUUCCAGUUGAGCUCGAGUACGUGGAUAGGUUUUUUGGUCGAGCUCCGAUGGCGGUUUGAUCUUUGUUCUAGUUUAUUUUUUUGAUUUUAUUCGCACUCUAAGUAUGAACUUUCGAUCGAAAUGUUGUAAUUGUCGUUGGAUGCUCUAUUAUGCUGAAAUGUAUAAUAAUUUUUAUUUGUCUCUCUAAAAAUUUCAUUACUCAG